AUUUUGCAAUAUACUUUUUAGAAUUUGGGCACUUACCUGGCAGUUGGUGAAAAUGCAGUUUUUGCUCUAAAUUAUUUCUGUGGAAUUCCGAGGUUUUAAUGGAAAUCCUAAGGCGUUUAAUUUCUGCUGACUGCUCGUUUUUGCACUUAUUCAAAGUUCUAACACUAUUCAGCCUUUGUCUAAAAAGAAUAAGAAAUACACAUACUUAUUAUUUUCUCGUCUUUCUCCUUGAUGACCUCCUCUCCUGCAGUUUGAGGUGCCUAUCCAACCUCGUCUUCUCGGGACUCCAUCCUUUUCUGCCGUUCAUUAGCCUCUGCAGGAGCAGUGGUUAACGUGGGAAAAGCGCUAGGUAACAACUUAGUUGGAUUCCGCGAACUUAAACCUGCAAGAGUGUUUGGUUAUAAAGAGCCAUUAAAAAGGAAGCGGAGAGGACGUUUUGCGAAUAAGGAAGACGAUAAAAGGCGAGAUACUACUCGAAAUGAAGAUGGCCCAGAUGAAGAACACGGGAGCAUAAGAAAAGGAAAUAUGCAAGGUUUUAGACGACCAGGCGCUAAUAAGAGCCAAAACCCACUAGGUAUUAGUGGAGAUCCGAGACCUGGACAAAAUAACCACUAAAGAAGACUCGGUUGCAAUACGAUCACAAAUUGUGGACUCAAAACGUGGUCUCAAAACGGCUGCAUGAUGCUCAUAAGAUCAAGAUUGGAUGUGUGGUCUGCAGAAUAAGGGAAAAGCCGAAAUUCAGAAAGUGUUUCAGGUGCCUGGAAUACGGCCAUCUGGCGAGGGGAUGUACGAGUGAGGAUCAUCGAAGCAAAUGUUGUGCUAAGUGUAGUGAAAAGCGGCACUUCACAAAGGAAAUAAAAGCCCGUCGUGUGCAGCAUGCAAAAGGGAAAAAGCAGACCGGUCACCGGAUCGGAAAUUGGAAGUUGCCUGUACACCCAAAGUAUACAUUAAAAAUUUACCGUUCAAUUUGAUCACAGUAGUAAAAGCAUUGAAGUAUAUAAGUAUUGAAGAAAAAAACCACGAGGAGAUUUCACUUUCGGGACAGGACAGUUGGUUUUGAAAGACAAGAAAGAUAUAGGACUGGAUGUUUAUAUGCGUUGCAAUAUAAUAUAUAUAAGAAAAAAUAUAUAAAAAAAGAAGCUACAAACGCUGAGAUGAUACCAUGUUUUUCCCCUAAUCUGAACAAAUUGCUUUGAUUGCAAGGAUAUCUGAAAUAUUCAGAGAAUUUCAUUUUUCCAAGUUUCAAAACCGAAACGUAACACAGUUUUAGCUCAAUUCUUGGGCUUUGCGAGACAAGGUAGGUACAAAGACAUGAUGUCGUUCAUCAAUUCACAGUCACCCAAGUACUGACAAAAAUAAGCGAAUGGAAGAAUAGAACGACUGCAGUAGAAGCGUCGAAUUUAGUCACAGUACUGUGAAACUUCGAAUUUAUUAUUGGAAUUUUUUGUCUCAGUGAUGAUUUGUCACUGACGCAGCCACUUAGUGUGAUUCUGCAGAACGAAUCAAUCGACCUUGCAUCAAACGUCAUAACAACAUUGGGUGCAACACUGAACACGCGAAGAAUGAAUGCUGAUCAUCACUUUAAUGUAAUUUUUUCAAAUGCUACACAUAUGGUUGAAAAAUUAGAUGUUGAAGUGGAAAUCCCCAUAACAUGUGGUCGUCAGAGUCAUCGAAACAAUUACCCAUCUCAAAGCUGGGUUUCUGCAUACAUUCCACUCAUUGACACGGUCAUACAAGAUUUUAAAAAACGGUUUUUCGAUGAAGUUCUUGAAGGUUUCAAUUUGAGUCUGCUGUUACCAAAAUUUAACCUAAAUUUGGAAGAAAAAGAUUUAACUAUACUCAUUGAAUGCCUAAUUAGACGCUUUAGGAAAAUCUUGCCAGGAAACAAAGAACUGCAAAAAAUGAAGCUCAAAGCAGAAGUAGCGCUUUUUCAACAACCAUGGAAAAUGAAAAUGACUACGAGAACACAAGUGUUUUGUGCCUUAGAAAGCCUCAGUAUUUGCGAUAAGGAUAUAUAUCCGUCGAUUCUUAUUCUCCUUCACGUACUCUGCUCUUUGCCAGCCACAAAUUCUAGCGCUGAUCGAUCCUUUUCUUCUUUGCGCCGAAUCAAGACUUGACUCAGAGCAACGAUGCUCCAGAAAAGAUUGACCGGCUAAGUAUUCCUCAACAUAAACUACAAAGUUCCUGUGGAAUCAGAAUAAAUAGCAGAAAAAUUUAUUAAAAUGAGCAAACACUAUAUUGAUUUUAUGUUGUAAAUUAAAUGUUAAAAUAUGUAUAAAAAAAUAAAAUUAUAGUUUAAAGCUAAACAUUUCUUAAAUCAAUUACAAAAUCAUGGCGUUAUGAUCGAUACGAGGCUCUAUUUCAAGGCGCACAUUGAAAACGCCUGUGAUGAGGCGGCUACAGUGAGUGCGGUCCUGUCGAGAAUCAUGGCAAGCAUUGUUGGCCCAGGCCAAAGUAGGAGAACUCUGCUGGCUAAAGUUAGCCAGUCAAUGCUGAUGUACGCAGCUCCGAUAUGGGAGACAGGCCUGCGUCAAAAAAUUGUGUCAAUAAGGCAAAGGCCGUGUCCAAGUGGGCGCAUAGAGUUGCAUGUGCGUUUAGGAUGGUAUGGCACGCGGUAAUUGCUAUUAUAUGUGGUCUUAUGCCACCGAAUGUAAUUGCCUCUGAGUUAAGUAGAGUCUGCUGUAAAACAAAAGCCAUGAAUAGGCGCCUAACGGUCGACGAGAGCAAAAAGGAGAGGAAGACAAGUCUCGAUGAGUGACAAAAGCAAUGGGAUGUGGCAUAUAAAGGAAGAUGGACAUAUAGACUAAUUAAGAAUGUACCGGCCUGGAUUGACAGACAACGCGGUGAGACAGACUUCUACUUAACGCAGUUCUUAUCAGGCCAUGGCUGUUUAAGGGAAUAACUGCACAAAUUUGGCCACCAUGACGAAACAUAAUGUUCCUUCUGCGGAAAUGCCGCAGAAAACGCAGAGCACGUCUUUUUCUGCGGCUCGAGGUAUGUAGUGGAGAGAAGCACCAUAGAAAAGCUAACAAAUGAAAGGAUGACGCCCGACAACAUAGUGAGUCACAUGCUGCGAUCACAGCUGGUGUGGGUUAAAAUAAAAGAGUAGACCGCAAUAGCGCUCCGAGAACUCAGAAUGAAAGAAAUGCAGCGAAGAAGCAUAAAACCACAGGAAUAACCAAGGAGGUAGGUAGUGAAGAGGCAUUUAUCGUUUGGUCCUGCAAAGUAGUGGUUAAAAGCUGUCCCGCAGGUCCGCAUGCAAGCUACAGCAGCCGUGGUUAAAGGUUUAGUGCGUAAGCAUAGUGUCCAGCAUAGUUAUUUAAUACUGUCAGGGCGUGGUCCCGAAAGAGGUUUACUCCAGCGGACACCCUGAAUCGUGCAUGCUGUCAGUUUUACUCUGGCAGUUUCUUUAGCAGAUUCCCCCUACGGAAAAAAAUACGCGUGCACUUGUAAAUAUUUUACCCACCAAAACUACAAACAUUGUUCUACAAAAAAAACAAUCAUCUCAAAUAGCAACAAUAGCGUCACAAGUUAAUGCGACAGCCAAAUAGCCGAAGCCCAAAUUUAUUGUAAAUCAUACUACAACUUCCUGAGCAUGGCUUUGCCUAGAAGCGUGACGCCUCUUUUGCGGCGAUGGAAAAAGCUAAAAAUCAUAAACUGAACAAAAUCUGAUGUUCAUUCUGACACGUGAAGCGUUUUUUGCGGGACGAUGGCAGGCUAAAAAUCCUAAAUUGAACAAUAUCUGAUGUUCCUUCCAGAAAGUAAAAGUGUCAACCAGGUAAACCCGCAAAUCACAGAAAUAAGUGGCAAUAUAGCUCCUAUCGAUUGAAAAUAUUUUACAUUUUUAAAAUACUUUUCC